AUGUUCGGCCGCCGGGUCGAGAGGCAGCGAGUCAUCAACGUAUUGAUGCAGGACGGCCACCCGCCACCCGGGGCUCCGACCGUGCUGCCCAUCAUCGGCCGUCGCAGAGUGGGCAAGAAGACGCUGGUGUGGAGCGUCUGCUCCGACGACCGGAUCCGCUCUCGCUUCCCUUCCAUCCUCCACGUCGACGGAUGCGAGAUUCAGAGGAUCGACCGUCGCAGGUUUGCUACUACUGUGAGGACUUUGAUCGUCGUUGAGGUCCGGUCGGACGUCGAUGACAGGGAGUGGCACGAGUUCCUCUCGCUGCUCCAAACUGUCACCGGCGCAGGGAGCAAGGUGGUGAUCCUAAGCCGGCUCGAGAGGCUAGCGAGGUUUGGAACCGUGAACCUCGUCCGGAUCAACAGCUUCUCACGAGAGGAAUACGGCUACCUUUUCAAGGUCCUCGCGUUCGGGAGCUCCGACCCGGCGGACCACCCGCGGCUGGCGCUGAUAGGGAAGGAGCUAGCGACGAUGAUGGAGGGGUCCCUCGUGCACCUCAACGUCUACUCGAGCGUGCUGAGGAACAACCUGAACGUUCAGUUCUGGAGCCGCGCUCUGAAGCUGUACCGAACGGUGAUGGAGGCUAACCUGUCCGUCUUCGGUGACCGCCCGAGGGCUCUUCUUGACAGAGGCAGCACCGUUGAUAUCACCAGGUUCUCGGCGGCGGCGGCGGCGGCUACCCCGCUUCGAUUUGUGCUGCUGAUCGGUGGAAGGGGCUCUUCCGGGCCAGGUGAGCUCCCCAGGAUGACAUUUGGAGAUAUAAUAGCGGGCUCUGUUGUUCUGCCGAUGAAGUUUGAGCUGGUGUGGGAAUCUCGGUUGCCCCCUUACACUGUUAUCUCCGGCACUUGUGUCGCAGAGGAGCCUCGACACUCGGUUUCACCCACAAGGAAACGUCGUAGAUGA
rnacentral:rRNA from 1 species